rnacentral:rRNA from 1 species
AAUGGCUGCAGUAAUAUAACUGUACAAAGGUAGCAUAAUCAUUAGUUUUUUAAUUAAAAGCUUGUAUGAAAGGUUGGACGAAGUAAAAUCUGUCUCUUUUUAAUAUAAUUAGAAUUUAAUUUUUAAGUAAAAAAGCUUAAAUUUAUAUAAAAGACGAGAAGACCCUAUAGAGUUUAAUAAUUAAUUUUAAGUAAUUAAUUUAGAUUUAUUUAUUUUAUUUAUUUUGUAAUUAUUUUAUUGGGGUAAUAAAAAGAUUAAUAUAAUUCUUUUUUUUAUUUUACAUUAAUGUAUGAAUUAAAUGAUCCAUUUUUAUGAUUAAAAGAUUAAAUUACCUUAGGGAUAACAGCGUAAUUUUUUUAAAGAGUUCAUAUCGAUAAAAUAGUUUGCGACCUCGAUGUUGGAUUAAAGAUUAAUUUAGGUGUAGAAGUUUAAAUUUUUGGUCUGUUCGACCAUUAAAUCUUUACAUGAUCUGAGUUCAAACCGGUGUAAGCCAGGUCGGUUUCU